rnacentral:rRNA from 1 species
GACGAACGCUGGCGGCGUGCCUAAUACAUGCAAGUCGAACGCAGUGGGGACGGGUGAGUAACACGUGGGUAACCUCCCAUCAGAGGGGAUAACACUUGGAAACAGGUGCUAAACUGAUACUGAUGGAUGAACCCGCGGUGCAUUAGCCAGUUGGUGAGGGAACGGCUGACCAAGGCUAAGAUGCGUAGCCGACCUGAGAGGGUGAUCGGCCACACUGGGACUGAGACACGGCCCAGACUCCUACGGGAGGAAGCAGUGGGGAAUAUUCGGCAAUGGGCGCAAGUCUGACCGAGCAACGCCGCGUGAGUGAAGAAGGUUUGCGGAUCGUAAAGCUCUGUUGUUAGAGAAGCGGUAUCUAACCAGGAAGCCACGGCUAACUACGUGCCAGCAGCCGCGGUAAUUC